rfam:Beta vulgaris subsp. vulgaris Bvchr8.sca018.con0287.1, whole genome shotgun sequence.
CCGACCUUAGCUCAGUUGGUAGAGCGGAGGACUGUAGUUGGUCAAACAGAUUAUCCUUAGGUCGCUGGUUCGAAUCCGGCAGGUCGGA